CCUACGGGAGGCAGCAGUGAGGAAUAUUGGUCAAUGGGCGGAAGCCUGAACCAGCCAAGUCGCGUGAGGGAAUAAGGCCCUACGGGUCGUAAACCUCUUUUGCCGGGGAGCAAGGGCCGGGACGAGUCCCGGUCCGGAGAGUACCCGGAGAAAAAGCAUCGGCUAACUCCGUGCCAGCAGCCGCGGUAAUACGGAGGAUGCGAGCGUUAUCCGGAUUUAUUGGGUUUAAAGGGAGCGUAGAUGGGUUGUUAAGUCAGCUGUGAACGUUUGCGGCUCAACCGUAAAAUUGCAAUUGAUACUGGCGG
rnacentral:rRNA from 1 species